UACAGAGGGGGCAAGCGUUAUUCGGAAUUAUUGGGCGUAAAGGGCGCGUAAGCGGCAUGGCAAGUGGAUGGUGAAAUCCCUCGGCUUAACCGAGGAACUGCCGUCCAAACUGCUUCGCUUGAGACCGGGAGAGGUGAGUGGAAUUCCCAGUGUAGCGGUGAAAUGCGUAGAUAUUGGGAGGAACACCAGUGGCGAAGGCGGCUCACUGGACCGGUACUGACGCUGAUGCGCGAAAGCGUGGGGAGCAAACGGG
rnacentral:rRNA from 1 species